UUAAAUGUCAGUCUUAGUUUCACAGAAGACAUGUUGAACAGAAGUUCGCGGAUCAUCUCCGGCAGCGCGUUUAUUUGCCUGCUGUUGUGCAAUUCCAGAGUUCUGGCAGAGUCCGAUGGGAAUCUGGCUACUCGUCGUGUGGUGAAUGGGAUACUGGGACAGUCAAUCACUUUACAAGUACACGUGCCAGGAGAAAGCAUUACAGCCAUUACUUGGGAUUACAUGAAUUCAACUAAUCAAAAAAAGGUUAAAUUAUGUGAGAAAUAUCCAAACAAUCCAAUAAAAUGUUACAGACAGAGGAUCACGUUAAACCCGGAGGACUAUAGCCUGGAAAUACAGAACCUAACAGACAGUGACAAAGGUCUGUAUGAAAUAAAUCCAAGGACCAGUGCAGAUGUCCAUGAAGAAGUGGUGGUGGAACUGCAAAUUUAUGAACGUGUAUCAACACCCAUAAUAAUUAGCAACCAAGUUGACUUAGAUGAGGUAUGUAACAUCAGUUUGCACUGUUUACUGGAGCGUGGCUCGGAGCCAGUUUACACUUGGUGGACAGGAGAUGAUGAGGUCAUGGCCGAUGAGUCACAUGUACUGACUGACGGAGGGAGAAGACUGGAAUUGUCCUUAAGGCUGAAUGAUAACAACACAGUGUACAACUGCACAGUGAGGAACCCUGUCAGUGAGGCAACUACGAGUGUGGAUCUCAGAAAGAUCUGUCUGGUCACUGAAGGUCAAAAGCCAAUGAGGCCACUCCACAUUGGUUUAAUUACUGCUGCUGUUCUAAUACUUUCCAUCAUGGCUAUCGCUUUCGUGAUGUGUUUGAAGAAGAAAGAAGAUCCCAAGUUCAAUGAAGCCGCUAACACUGAAAGGAGAAGUGAAUCAGUGCUGUAUGCUGUGAUCAGGAGAGCAAACAUUGCCAGGGACCAGAGAGUGUGUGAAAAUGGAAGUGGGACAGCCAUUUUCUACAGACAGCGCAGGAUAGAAGAAGGAGAAUGAAAAUGGACAAUGAGCAUCAGAGAAGAACAUUGUGAAAUGCUCACAGAACCCAUUGGAAGGACAGACACCACUGUCAGAAAAUCCUCAUGCAGACAAUGGUCUCACAGAGAAUGUGCAGGCCUUUCAACAUUCAAAAGAUUCCCCAUCUGAGAUCCAACAUCCACUGCAAUCCGUUUAUCUAUCCUACUCCUCAAAGAAUUCCAACAGGUUAGUCAGGCAGGAUGUUCCCUGAAGAAAAUCAUGCUGACUUUGUACUACCUUGUCCUGUGUCACCUCAUCCUUAUAUUACGAAUGUGAAACAACUCUGAGGGGCCGAAGGGUACAAAGUCGCUCCCUCCUUUUUGAGAAUCGCAAGAUCGCUAUUAUUUCGGAUCUGAGACCCAGGAAAUGAGAGAGAGACAUCCAGAAUACACAAGGUUUGGAAUGUGUCCUGACCUCAGCGGAACGGAACCACUGAUAAUGGCCAUUGUCUCUUGGAGAAGGAAUUGUGUAUUGAGUACCGUACUAUUCAUUGAAACCUCUCAGGGGACAACCAGAGUGGUCUGGUUGAGGGAUUGCAUCAACCCAACCUAAUUGACAUCUGACACCCCGUGAGUGAGGAUAAAAGAGGGGUCUGGGGAACAACCCCUUCAGACGCACCAGGAGAAACGCUAGAAAUCCCGUGACAGCGUUUUAUAGCGAAAGCCGGUGGGGGCUUGUGUGCGUCCUCCCUUGCCUGGGGUGGCAGGCUCACCACGGAAGAACGGUUUAGCUAAAGGAGAGGUCACAAUUGAACAGCCAUGACAACGAGACUCCUGACGGAUCGAAAUCAUAAAUAGAAAAGCCGGCAAGUUUUUCUCCCAAAUCUCUCUCUCCCCCCAACCAUUGCAACCCAGUGGUCCCCAAUGGCUGCAGCCUGCAUGAACUGAGUGAACUUUAUAUUUCCAUCGGACAAUACAUUAUCCCCUAGACAACAAUAGAGCUUGUUUCUUAUUGAUUAUUAUUAUACCUGCACUUUUAGAUUUAGUAUUGACGAUGUAUAUUAUCUGUAUAUUUGCAUUGAUAUUAUUUUUGUGUAUUUUUACUAAUAAAUACUGUUAAAAAUAGUAUCAUCAGACUUCAACAGACAUCUCUAUCUUUGCUGGUAAGUGACCCAGUUACGGGGUUCGUAACACUUAACAACUAACAUGUUCUCAACCACUGAGGUCAGGCUCCAACUUCCUUUCUGCUGCCUUCCUCCUUUCUCAAAGAGUAGAGUGAUACUUGCAGUUUUCCAAUCCUCUGGCACCAUGGCAGAGUCCAAUGAUUUUUGAAAGAUCAUUUCUAACGCUGCCACAAUCUCUAAUGCUACUUCUUUCAGAACGCUAGGGUGCAGUUCCUCUGGUCCAGGUUUCUUAUGUACCUUUAGAUCUUUCAACUUUUUGAGCACCUUCUCUCUUGAAAUAGUAACUGCACCCACUUCUCUUCCUUCACACACUACAACAUCAAGCAUACUGCUAGUGUCUUCCACAGUGAAGACUUUAGAAAAAUACUCUUUUAGUUCAUCAGCCAUCUCCUUGUCCGUUAUUAUUUCUCCUGCCUCAUUUUCUGGUGGUCCUAUAUCCACUCUCAUUUCUCUUUUAUUUUUAACAUAUUUGAAAAAGCUUUUACUAUCCACUUUGAUAUUAUUUGCUAGCUUGCUUUCAUAUUUCAUCUUUUCCCUUUCUAUGAUUUUUUUAGUUGCUCUCUGAACGUUUUUAAAAACGUCCCCAAUCCUCUAUCUUCCCACAAAUUUUUGCUUUGUUGUGUGCCCGUUCUUGUGUUUUUACACAACUUCCCUGUCAGCCAUGGUUGUACUAUUUAACCAUUUGAGUACUCGUGGAAUACAUGCCCUGCACCUUCCUCAUUUUUCCCAGAAAUGCAAACCAUUGUUGCUUUGCUGUCAUCGCUGCCACUCCUCAUACCACUGUAAUUUCCCUUACUCCACUGAAAUACUGCUACUCCAGCCUUUACUUUCUCCCUAUGAAAUUUCAGGUUGAACUUAAUCAUAUUGUGAUCACUGGUUCCUAAGAGUUCGUUUGCCCUAAGCUCCCUAAUCGCCUCCAGUUCAUUGCACCUGAACUGGAAGGGGAACUAUCAUCCUUGUGGGAAGGUUUGCUGGUGCUGCUCCAGGGGGGUUUAAACUAGAUUUGCAGGGGUAGGGGAACCAGUGUUAGAGCAGAUGGUGAGGUGGAAGAGGAUAAAGGUCAUGCAAGAGCUGCAAGAUUAUUGCAUGGAGUAAAGCCAGAUCUAACAUAUAAGGAAGCUUUGAGGAAAGAAAUAGAAUAAAGGGUGUAAGGAUAGUAAGGCAGAAGGGCUAAAGUGUGUGCACUUCAAUGCAAGAAGCAUCAGGAACAAAGGUGAUGAACUGAGAGCUUGGAUACAUACAUGGAAUUAUGAUGUAAUGGCCAUUACAGAGACUUGGCUGACACCAGGGUAGGAAUGGAUUCUCAAUAUUCCUGGAUUUCAGUGCUUUAAAAGUGAUGGGGAGGGGGGGGAGGGGUUAGCAGCAGAGAUACCAAGGAGCAGAUUGGGAGGCAGAUUUUGGAAAGAUACAAAGGGUUGUUAUCAUGAGUGACUUUAACUUCCCUAAUAUUGAUUGGCACCUGAUUAGUUCCAAUGGUUUAGAUGGGGCAGAGUUUGUUAAGUGCGUCCAGGAGAGUUUCCUGUCACAGUAUGUUGACAGGCUGACCCUAUAGGGGGAAUGCCAUACCAGAUCUAGUAUUAGGUAAUGAACCGGGUCAGGUUACAGUGGGUAGCAUCAGGCGGACAGCGAUCACCGCUCCCUGGCCUUCAACAUUAUCAUGGAAAAGGGUAGAAUCAGAGAGGACAGGAAAAUUUUUAAUUAGGGAAGGGCAAAUUAUGAGGCUAUAAGGCUAGAACUUGCGGGCUUGAAUUGGGAUGAUGUUUUUGCAGGGAAAUGUACUAUGCACAUGUGGUCAAUGUUUAGGGAUCUCUUGCAGGAUGUCAGAGAUAAAUUUGUCUGGGUUUCGGGCCAAGACCCUUCGUCAGGACCUGACGUCGACAGUGCUUCUCCUUAUAGAUGCUGCUUGGCCUGCUGUGUUCCACCAGCAUUUUGUGUGUGUUAUUUAAUAAUGCUGAUCCUUUUUUUAAUCCUCCAGCCUUCUCCCUGUAACCUUUGAUGCUAUGUCCAAUCAAGAACCUAUCAACCUAGCUGCCACAGCUACAUGUGGUAAAAAAUAAUUAUGAGUCCCAUUUUCCUACAGAAUUUUGCCGUGUUCCUCGCAAUCUGUUCCUUAUGGAGUUUUAAAGUCAGUACAAUACUGAGGCCCCUCUUCAAAUUAUUUUCUUGGGUUUCUGUGGGAAUAAAUGCAAGGGGGGUUUACGAGGGUUUCUCCCAGUAGCAGACCCUGCCUCUAUCAGCUUUGUCUCUGCUGUAGUUUAAAUACUGCAUCCAGUAAGGAGAGGAUACCAUUUUUAGUUUCUGGUUUUGGCUCUAGCUUUUCCAGGAUAGUAGGGGCUUGAAUGAAUUUGGCUCCAGGGUAGCUGUCCAAUUGAAGAUGAUUAGGGUAUCUUGUAAUCCUGAAAAUAUUAACAUCCCCUAUAAUUAGUAUAAGUUUAAGGGGCCUUAAUUCCCAUUUUACAUUUUUCUGUUGAGAGUUAGGUUGCCUAGUUAUUUGACCACCUUCUUGUCUAUUGUUACAAAAACCUGUUCUUGUCUGUUCCUUGUCCUGCAACUCAGCAUGUUGGAGUUCCAUUCCAGCAGCCUCUUGAAGUUUGUGUGUUCUUCUUUUCGAAACACAGAAAACCUACAGCACAAUACAGGCCCUUUGGCCCACAAAGUUGUGCCAAACAUGUCCCUACCUAGGUUUACCCAUAUCCCUCUUUUUUUCUAAGCUCCAUGUACCUAUCCCGGAGUCUCUUAAAAGACCCUAUCGUAUCAGCCUCCUCCACCUUUGCUGGCAGCCCAUUCAUUCCACACACUCACCAUUCUGCCAUCAUAUUCGACCUACCAAAAUGAACCACUUUCACACUUAUCUGGGAUGAACUCCAUCUGCCACUUCUCAACCCAGUUUUGCAUCCUAUCAAUGUCCCGUUGUAACCUCUGACAGCCCUCCACACUUUCCACAACACCCACAACCUUUGUGUCAUCAGCAAACUUACUAACCCAUCUCUCUGCUUCCUCAUCCAGGUCAUUUAUAAAAAUCACAAGGAGUAAGGAUCCCAGAAAAAAUCCCUGAGGCACACCACUGUUCACCGACCUCCAUGCAGAGUAUGACCCAUCUACAACCACUCUUUGCCUUCUGUUGGCAAGCCUGUUCUGGAUCCACAAAACAAUGUCCCCUUGGAUCCCAUGCCUCCUUAUUUUCUCAGUAAACCUUGCAAAGGUUACCUUAUCAAAUGCCUUGCUGAAAUCCAUAUACACUACAUCUACAGCUUUUCCCUCAUCAAUGUGUUUAGUCACAUCCUCAAAAAAUUCAAUCAGGCGUGUAAGGCACCACAUGCCUCUGACAAAGCCAUGCUGACUAUUCCUAAUCAUAUUAUAUCUCUCCAAAUGUUCAUAAAUCCUACCUCUCAGGAUCUUCUCCAUCAACUUACCAACCACUGAAGUAAGACUAAACUGGUCUAUAAUUUUCUGGGCUAUCUCUAUUCCCUUUCUUGAAUAAUGGAGCAACAUCUGCAACCCUCCAAUCCUCCGGAACCUCUCCUGUCCCCACUGAUGAUGCAAAGAUCAUUGCCAGAGGCUCAGCAAUCUCCUCUCUCGCUUCCCACAAUAGCCUGGGGUACAUCUCAUCCAGUCCUGGUGACUUAUCCAACUUGAAGCUUUCCAAAAGCUCCAGCACAUCCUCUUUUUUAAUAUCUACAUGCUCAAGCUUUUCGGUCCGCUGCAAAUCAUCACUGCAAUCACCAAGAUCGUUUUCUAUAAUGAAUACUGAAGUAUUUAUUAAGUAUCUCUAUUUCCUCUGGUUCCAUACACACUUUCCCACUGUCACAUUUGAUAGGUCCUAUUCUUUCACGUCUUAUCCUCCUGCUCUUCACAUACUUGUAGAAUGCUGUGGGGGUGUUCCUUAAUCCUGCCUGCCAAGGCCUUCUCAUGGCCCCCUUCUGGCUCUCCUAAUUUCCUUCUUAAGAUCCUUUGAGUGCAAAGGUUUGCUCUGGGCUCUUGGGUUUCCUCCUAUAGUCCAAAGACACUGUAAGUUGUCCUGUGACAGGGUUCAAAAGGUGGGUUGCUGUGUGGUGUGGCUCAUUGGACGGGAAAUGUCUGUUCUGCGCUGCAUCUCGAAAUAAGCUCUUUUGGUCCAAUCUAACCAUACAACUAAAAUCGCUCAUUCCAUCUAGUUUAUUUGUUAAUAUUAUGUUAACAUUUUAUGUACUGUAUGUGAUAUAUUCAGUGUUUUGCACCUCAGUUUCUGAGGAACUGUGUUUCAUUUAGCUGUAUACAUGUGUAAGGAUGAAUGACAAUAAACUCAAACUGCAAACU